rnacentral:rRNA from 1 species
GACGAACGCUGGCGGCGUGCUUAACACAUGCAAGUCGAACGGAAAGGCCCUGCUUUUGUGGGGUGCUCGAGUGGCGAACGGGUGAGUAACACGUGAGUAACCUGCCCUUGACUUUGGGAUAACUUCAGGAAACUGGGGCUAAUACCGGAUAGGAGCUCCUGCUGCAUGGUGGGGGUUGGAAAGUUUCGGCGGUUGGGGAUGGACUCGCGGCUUAUCAGCUUGUUGGUGGGGUAGUGGCUUACCAAGGCUUUGACGGGUAGCCGGCCUGAGAGGGUGACCGGCCACAUUGGGACUGAGAUACGGCCCAGACUCCUACGGGAGGCAGCAGUGGGGAAUAUUGCACAAUGGGCGGAAGCCUGAUGCAGCAACGCCGCGUGCGGGAUGACGGCCUUCGGGUUGUAAACCGCUUUCGCCUGUGACGAAGCGUGAGUGACGGUAAUGGGUAAAGAAGCACCGGCUAACUACGUGCCAGCAGCCGCGGUGAUACGUAGGGUGCGAGCGUUGUCCGGAUUUAUUGGGCGUAAAGGGCUCGUAGGUGGUUGAUCGCGUCGGAAGUGUAAUCUUGGGGCUUAACCCUGAGCGUGCUUUCGAUACGGGUUGACUUGAGGAAGGUAGGGGAGAAUGGAAUUCCUGGUGGAGCGGUGGAAUGCGCAGAUAUCAGGAGGAACACCAGUGGCGAAGGCGGUUCUCUGGGCCUUUCCUGACGCUGAGGAGCGAAAGCGUGGGGAGCGAACAGGCUUAGAUACCCUGGUAGUCCACGCUGUAAACGGUGGGUACUAGGUGUGGGGUCCAUUCCACGGGUUCCGUGCCGUAGCUAACGCUUUAAGUACCCCGCCUGGGGAGUACGGCCGCAAGGCUAAAACUCAAAGGAAUUGACGGGGCCCCGCACAAGCGGCGGAGCAUGCGGAUUAAUUCGAUGCAACGCGUAGAACCUUACCUGGGUUUGACAUGGAUCGGGAGCGCUCAGAGAUGGGUGUGCCUCUUUUGGGGUCGGUUCACAGGUGGUGCAUGGCUGUCGUCAGCUCGUGUCGUGAGAUGUUGGGUUAAGUCCCGCAACGAGCGCAACCCUUGUUCACUGUUGCCAGCACGUUAUGGUGGGGACUCAGUGGAGACCGCCGGGGUCAACUCGGAGGAAGGUGGGGAUGACGUCAAGUCAUCAUGCCCCUUAUGUCCAGGGCUUCACGCAUGCUACAAUGGCUGGUACAGAGAGUGGCGAGCCUGUGAGGGUGAGCGAAUCUCGGAAAGCCGGUCUCAGUUCGGAUUGGGGUCUGCAACUCGACCUCAUGAAGUCGGAGUCGCUAGUAAUCGCAGAUCAGCAACGCUGCGGUGAAUACGUUCCCGGGUCU